rnacentral:lncRNA from 1 species
GAUUGCUUUCGAUGCCAAAGACCUGAGGGUAUUGGGCUGCUCAGACGUGCUUCCUUGAGUAGUUGGAUAUGCCUGCUAGGGUUGGACCUCUACUGAUGGUGCUUAUCAUAUUGAUCUGUCGAUUUACGUUUGGAAUUGGUGCCUGCGAUGGCCUGGUAAUGUACCGAUCCAACUUACCUUCCCGAAUCAAGCGCUCGACGAUCUUUCUCAAGCUUAUACACUCUUUUGUACUAUGGCUGUUGUGUUGGUAGUAUUGACAGAAUUUACCGGUAUCCCCGUUGUCCUAUCGAUUGGGCUUCCAAUUAGCCUGCUUCGGUAUGAGCUGGUGCUCGUUCACUAGAGCAGCUUCGUAUGAAGUGUUGAGCAGGGUCAAGACCUCUUGCCCUUGGUUAUGAUUUGGCAAGGGCGCUAGGUGAUUGUCACUGCUAUAUUUCCCUCUAACCUUCUUAGAGUGCUCCUGUCGAGAGUCGAUGGUGUUCUUCCAUUUGUGGCUAGCCUGGUUUUCGACAGACUCAUCAACUGAACCUUACCUUGAUCCUUGUACUAAGAACCUCUGUUGUACUGGUUCCUCCUACCAAGUCGAAGGCCCGAUUUUUGAGUUGAAGUAUUCAGCUUUUGCAUGGAUUGCAGCUUGUUUCAUUAACUCAUCAUAGGUGCACCAAUUACUGUCGUGCACUAAGUACCGGAAGUGUGAG